rnacentral:rRNA from 1 species
UGGGCCCGCGGCGCAUUAGCUAGUUGGUAAGGUAACGGCUUACCAAGGCGACGAUGCGUAGCCGACCUGAGAGGGUGAUCGGCCACACUGGGACUGAGACACGGCCCAGACUCCUACGGGAGGCAGCAGUAGGGAAUCUUCCGCAAUGGACGAAAGUCUGACGGAGCAACGCCGCGUGAACGAUGAAGGCCUUCGGGUCGUAAAGUUCUGUUGUUAGGGAAGAACAAGUACCGUUCGAAUAGGGCGGUACCUUGACGGUACCUAACCAGAAAGCCACGGCUAACUACGUGCCAGCAGCCGCGGUAAUACGUAGGUGGCAAGCGUUGUCCGGAAUUAUUGGGCGUAAAGCGCGCGCAGGCGGUCUCUUAAGUCUGAUGUGAAAGCCCACGGCUCAACCGUGGAGGGUCAUUGGAAACUGGGAGACUUGAGUGCAGAAGAGGAGAGUGGAAUUCCAUGUGUAGCGGUGAAAUGCGUAGAUAUAUGGAGGAACACCAGUGGCGAAGGCGACUCUCUGGUCUGUAACUGACGCUGANGCGCGAAA